AUGGCGCGGGUGUAAAUGCCAGGACCUGGAGUAGUGUUGUCAAACAAAGCAUGAGGCAAGAAGCUGCCCCUCAGGAGAAUGCCAGACCUCACACCUUUCAGCAGAUAGAUCCAAACAACAGAGCCAGAGCCAGGUUUUGUGGUCCUACAAUCCCAGUUAGGCCUGCCCACGCUCAGCGCCACGGAGCCCCGGCACACCGAGCCAACUCUCCUCCAGGAUUCAGAUAUCGUUUUCCUUUCAAACAG